CGGGGCGGUGGGGAAGGAGGAGGGUGGAGGAGCAAGUACAGGUGGCUUUGUUGACUGAUCAGUAAACCGAUGUCAUGGGACAAGUGUCUCCCUCAACAGGAAAUGCAGGUCCGGCGUCAUAGCUGAAGUUCAAGAACGCCGACAAUCCGCUAAGACAGGCUAACAGAAUAGCCUCUGGGUUCCAAGGCCGCGAAGGAGGCGGGUGGGAGAGGCCCCACUGCCGGGUCAGAGAAACGCUCCUCACCCCAGUCCAACAGCGGCACAGAAAAGGAAAGUGAAAUUGUCUGCAGGAGACAAAAGGAAAGCCCUGUGGACAGGAGCCCCAGGCCCUGCUACUUUCCCCACCAGCUCAGGGGAGAGACGACGUUGCUGGGAUGAACAGUUGGGAAAGGAGGAACAAGGACGAGGCUGACUUGACGUGCCCCGAGCAUCAUCUCCACAUUCACCGUGUUGUCACAUCUAGAUGAUACAAACGCAUCGCGACCGCAGACUUUCCCCUCGGUCAUCUGGUAAGGCAGGUAAAAUGGGGACUAUGAUCCUUCUUUGCAGGUGAGGAAUUGUAAACCUGCUCCAACCUGCCUCACCCUCAAACGUGUUUCCGGGUAAAUUAGCCACGGAGGAUACAAGACAUCUUUGCAAAUUGAUGACUUGGAAAGAAAGAAGAGAAACUCCAUUUUAAAAAACUAGUGUUCAUGCGGGUCCGGCAGGGACUCAGUCCUGUAGGUGCGUUAUCUCAAGCAAUCCUCCCCAAACCCCCUGAGCUGGGGGCUUCAAUGUGGAGAAGAGGCAGAGGACAGAGAAGAAAGAUGCUCUUGUGGGCAGUCAGAGGCAGAGAGGGGACUACAAGGGACUCUGUCUGAAGCUAAGGUCGCUACACCUACUGUUGGGAGAAGUUGAAAUAUGGGCGACUUCUGAUUUGCUUUUGGAUUCUGAGACCCAGCUACCGCCGUGUCAAGAGGUGGUGUGACAGCAGUCACAGCUGUGGCAUGUGGUGGAGAUAUGCCCUGGGCCAGCAGCUGUUGCUAGUCUCAGAACAAUGGCCUCGUUAUUCUGCUCCGAAGGUUUGCUCGCAGUGGAGACUGACUGCCAGCGAUCACACCUGUUCAUGAUUGACCUGGUCAUGGCUGAGCCCGGCUGGAGGAGCUGGACGGUGACAGGAACCCUAGGUCCCCCUAAUGCCACCUCGGAGGAAGCCCAGCCCGUGGUCUCUGUGGCUUGGGGAACAUGAGCUAACUUGGAAGUCACUGGGAGGUCCAGGUAGGACCAGGCACGGCACUCAGAUGCUCCCUCUGCCCGAGCCUGAGUCCAGAGUGAGGCUUCGUACAAGGAGGGUGGCCGGGAGAGAAGAGGAAGAGAAAGGCAGGAGGGAUUCCAGCGAAAGAGAAGGAAGGGCCCACCGGCCGCCAUGUAUGCCUGCCCUCUUGGACCAUCUGGAAAGAAUGAAGAUUGUGCUGCUUUCAUGCCCCAUGCAGCCAGGCACGCCAGGAACAGUGAGGAGAGAGGAAGGGCGUGCGUUUACGGACGGGCAGUCUUCUUUGAGGGACUUGCUGCCUGCUGAGAUGGGUCUCUUCAACUCUCCCUCCUCCUCUGGGACCCCAGGAGGUGAGUGAUUGUCAAAUCUCAGCCUCCUCUCUCAGAUCUGCGCCAAUCUGCCCUCUCCUCUUUUCUCCCUGCUGCUGUUCAGGCCGCCCCGCUCUCUCUCAUCAGGACCAUUGCUUUGGAUAAACUUGGCUCCUCGGCUCUCAUCACUCCAUCAUCCAGGUUCCAUUCUUGGCUCAGAUCUCGGCAAGUUACUUAAAUUCCAGCUUAUGCCUCAGUUUCCUCUUUGGGUGGUUCUGAGGCUUGAGUGAGGUAGUAUGUGCCAAGGUCUUCGAGCAGAGCCCCGCACACAGCAAGUGCCAAAUGCCUGUCGGCCGUUUUUAGGAUUGCCGUUGUUUUCCCUGACAGACCGGAGCUAGCCAGCUGUUUACAAAUGUAUCUAAUCUUGUCACCUUCUGCUUUUAAAUCCAUAAAGGAGAAUUGUUCUUCAAAUGGUGCUGCAAAAGGACCAGGUUAGAUCUGCCCUGAUAACCUACACCGAAAAUGUCUGUGGAUGUGAGAGAGAGGUCAGAAUCAAAAUGACUCCAAAAAACAUGGAGAGAAAAAUAUUUAAUUGAUCUCAGCUCUGGGAAGGAAUUACUGGCAUCAAAUUAACAGAGGGAACUGUUGACGAAAAUAAUCCAUAACCAAUCUAUAAAUGAAAAUUUGGAAUCAUAAACGAAGAUAGCAGUACGUCCACAUAAAAUAAAAAUCUUCUGGAAUAAAAAUAACGCAAAGCAAAAAUAAAUGGUAAAUGUUGCAAAAACAUCAGCAUAAAUAUGGCGGGCAAAGGUUGGAACUCCUUGAUGGAUGGAAGAGCUCUUGUUAACUAAUAGGAAAAAUACAUGCCACUGGAAAACAGUCAAAGAGCAUGCAAGGACGGUUUGAACAUUAAACGUUAAGGUCGAAGAACUCAGAGCAACAAGGGUGAUGUUUACACGUUCCAGAGGCUGAGUUGCAUGAUUUGCAUAUAAUACUUCAUUCAUUCUUCACAAGGGCUCCACGAGGUGGGCUCCAGCCCAACUCUCUGUUUGCUGAUGGGCACAGAACCUCAGAGGGGUCACAGAGUUGUCCCCAAGGUGGCAGGUUCUAGUUGACAGAGCCAAGAUUUGAGCCCACCUUGGAUUCUGAAGACUCAACCUACUGCGGUAUAAAUAAACUUUAAAAAAUAAGCUGUCGAUGAAAAUAAUCCAUAUCCAAUCUAUAAAUGAAAAUUUGGGUGAGUUUAUUCUGAGCUUAAAGCUGAGGAUUAUAACCCGGGAGAGUCUUUCCACAAAGGAACAGAGCACUCCAAAGAAGUGGGGGUAUAAGGGUGGUUAUAUACCCUCAAAGAGGAUGUUUCACAUAGGAUUGAAAUGUCCCUCCCACAAUAGUCGCGAGACUGCUCUGUGGGCACAGCGAUUGAUGGAAAUAGCAGGUAGGUCUGCUGUCUCGGUGAACACAGCAGGGUGGCAGUCUGUUGUCUCCAGCUGGGUGGUCACAGGUGAGCUGGGAGGUGAGUGCAGCAAUCAGUUCCUAGCCUAAGGAAAAAUGCUUAUCCCUAAGGAAAUGCUAAUGUGGGGGAAAGUUGCACCUUUGUCUCAAGGGCCUUUGUUCUGGCCAUAGGAAAUGUCUAAGCAGAUAUGCAAUGCGUGCUCAAUAGCCACAGUCAGGCCCUUUUGAAAAAAAAAAAGUCAGGCCGAAUUAGGUUUAUACCAAAUGGCUUCCUCAUAUACUCCAAUAUAUCCUAUUGCUUGCCAUUUUUAUUUGUCAAAGCUAAUUUUUAAAAACUCAAUCUCACUAACAGUCGAAGAAAUCAAAUCAAAACAAUGAAGAAGCAGAAGCAGCCUCUUCAGCUGUCAGACCAGCGUACUCUUUGAAUGAUGAUGCUCCAUUUCAGUGAAGUUGGGGGUGGGGCAGGCACGCCUGCACUCUGGUCCUCGAGAGCGAAUUGUACAACCUGUUAGAAAGCAAUUUUGAAACGUGUAGGAAGAGCCUCAAAAAAUGUUCUUACUCUUUGCCCUAGAGAUUUCACUGCUAGAAAUGCACGAUAAGGAAGUGGAGAUAUGAUCAAAGAUUGUGAGCGAGAAGGCUUAUUAUAAUAUUAUUUAAAUACAAAUAAGGUUGCAAACAACCUAAAUAUUCUCAAACCAAAGAUGGAUGAAAUAAAUCAUGGUGCUUCCAUAGAGACAUAUUCCAUAGAGGACCCAUGAAAAAGCACAGUUUGGAAAAACUUGAAAAAUGCCAGCAAAAUCUUAGAAGCAGACAGACGGUGCCGAGAUUCAGGAAGGAAGACAUUUACACUGGGUUUUGAGGAAUAAGGGGGAAUUUCCCAAGCAAAGGUGGAGGUAAGAACGCUGCAGACAGAAUUCAAGGACAGUUCCAGAGCCUUGAAGGACAGGCAACAAGAAGGGCCACCACCCUUUGAUGGACGCGGAUGUUGCCUAACGACUCAAGCCAGCAGUCAGGGGGGCAUGAUUCCCUGUUUUCAUCGUCUGUCUCCAGUGGACCAGUUUUUCAAUCAAUCACUGGCAAGUACUGGAUGCCUCUGAAGACAGCACAGGGGUGAGGGGGCGACAAGAGGUGUCCUCCCCAUCCCACCUCUGGCCACUAAGAGGAAAAACAGAGCCUAACGUCACCCUCAGAAGGUCGAACUCCAAAACCCACACCUGUCCCAGCAGAGGUCAGGCUCCCUCACCCUGGACAGCUCCCGCCUUCUCGGGCAGCCAGGACGUGCCAGACCUGAGGUGUUAGCACAUCCAGACAAUGGUCGUUCCAGUCUGGAGGCAGGUCUGGAUGCCUCCGCAGGAGAUGUUUUGCAGCUGAGGAAACUGAGGCAGAGAGAGGUGGAGGAGCUUGUCCCUCUGUGGACCCGGUGAGCAGGAGAGUCGUUCUGCAAAGCCAGACCGUCUGCACAAGAAACACAUUUAUCCACCACGCCAAUAGUUCUCAGAGUGGGGUCCGCGGCCAGCAGCAUCAGCAGCCCCUGGAACUUGGGAGGAAGGCAAGCUCUCUGGCCCCACCCAGGACCUACAGCAAUGUGGUUUCUCCUGGGGAUUCUGAUCCUUGCUCAGGGGUUUCUUUGCGGAGCACCGAUGCACUGCACGAGGCGUUGUAGGAGAGCGUGCUAAGGACGUGUGUGACUGUGACCAAACCUGAAGCCACCGCCUGCCCUCUCAGAGCCCACGAGGAAGAGCCGUGGACUCACAGCCAGCGCAUCUUGGGUCUGUGGGCAGUUUCAGAGCCUUCUUUGUGGAUACGGAGGCACGGCAUGAAGCCUGAGGCUGCUGGACGUGGGGGGCCUGGAAGGCUGUCAUCAUUUGCAAAACAUCAGGGAGCUGCCACUUAAAACCUGGGGACUCAAUCCACGGGACAGACGUGGACGGCUCUCCUGGCGGACCAGUCGUGUCUGUAAAUACUGCUAUUUACGUUUUAUUCGGGGACCUGUUCGUAAAAUUUCAAGUCAAAUAGGAGAGGAGCAAUGGCAGCUGUGUCCACCUUGAGUCUCUGCUCCAGCAUUUUGCCUAGUGGAUGAUUUUAAGAUCAAAACAGAACUAUCUGGUGCCCCAAAAUCCUGAUGCACAAGCUCCAGGCUGGGGAGCUGCCGCGGAGCCUGGAACGUGGUGCCCGGGUGGUGACAAGCUUCUCUUGACCCUCACACCUCCAGGUUGUUUCUACCCCACCCCCCACAUACUUAGACAUGGUUGUGGGAGACCCAAAGGGAAGUGUGGACCCUCAGCUACCAAAAAAAAUUAAAAAAGAAAGAAAAGCAUUGUUUGUGCAAAGAGCAGGGAGAACCUAAAAAAAA
rnacentral:lncRNA from 1 species